UACGUAGGUGGCAAGCGUUAUCCGGAUUUAUUGGGCGUAAAGGGAACGCAGGCGGUCUUUUAAGUCUGAUGUGAAAGCCUUCGGCUUAACCGGAGUAGUGCAUUGGAAACUGGGAGACUUGAGUGCAGAAGAGGAGAGUGGAACUCCAUGUGUAGCGGUGAAAUGCGUGGAUAUAUGGAAGAACACCAGUGGCGAAAGCGGCUCUCUGGUCUGUAACCGACGCUGAGGUUCGAAAGCGUGGGUAGCAAACAGG
rnacentral:rRNA from 1 species